rnacentral:rRNA from 1 species
AACGAACGCUGGCGGCAGGCUUAACACAUGCAAGUCGAACGCUUCACCUUCGGGGUGGGGAGUGGCAGACGGGUGAGUAACGCGUGGGAACGUACCCUUCAGUUCGGGAUAACCCACGGGAAACUUGGGCUAAUACCGGAUACGUCCGUAAGGAGAAAGGUUUACUGCUGAAGGAUCGGCCCGCGUCGGAUUAGCUAGUUGGUGGGGUAAAGGCCCACCAAGGCGACGAUCCGUAGCUGGUCUGAGAGGAUGANCAGCCACACUGGGACUGAGACACGGCCCAGACUCCUACGGGAGGCAGCAGUGGGGAAUAUUGGACAAUGGGCGCAAGCCUGAUCCAGCCAUGCCGCGUGAGUGAAGAAGGCCUUA